rnacentral:rRNA from 1 species
UGAGUAACGCGUGGAUAACCUACCUCAAGGUCUGGGAUAACAGCUCGAAAGGGCUGCUAAUACCGGAUGUGGUGCAUAUGCUGCAUGGUAGAUGCACUAAAGGGGAAACCCGCCAUGAGAUGGGUCCGCGUCCCAUCAGCUAGUUGGUGGGGUAAAGGCCUACCAAGGCGACGACGGGUAGCCGGCCUGAGAGGGUGACCGGCUACACUGGGACUGAGACACGGCCCAGACUCCUACGGGGGGCAGCAGUGGGGAAUAUUGCACAAUGGGCGAAAGCCUGAUGCAGCGACGCCGCGUGGGCGAAGAAGGCCUUCGGGUUGUAAAGCCCUGUCUGGAGGGACGAAGUAAUGACGGUACCUCCGGAGGAAGCCACGGCUAACUACGUGCCAGCAGCCGCGGUAAUACGUAGGUGGCGAGCGUUGUCCGGAAUUACUGGGCGUAAAGGGCGUGCAGGCGGCCACUUAAGUCGGGCGUGAA